rnacentral:tRNA from 1 species
GCCGAUAUAGCUCAGUGGUAGAGCACGUCAUUGGUAAUGACGCGAUAUGAGUCCGAUUCUCAUUGUCGGCU